rnacentral:misc_RNA from 1 species
UUUCCGUAGGUGAACCUGAGGAAGGAUCAUUACAGAGUUCAUGCCCUCACGGGUAGAUCUCCCACCCUUGAAUAUUUAUACCUUAGUUGCUUUGGCAGGCCGUGGAAACACCAUGGGCUCCGGCUUAUGCGUGCCUGCCAGAGGAAACAAACUCUGUUUUUAGUGAUGUCUGAGUACUAUAUAAUAGUUAAAACUUUCAACAACGGAUCUCUUGGUUCUG